AACGAACGUUGGCGGCGUGGAUUAGGCAUGCAAGUCGAACGAAUCCCACCUGUGUAGCAAUACAUGGGUGGGGGAAGUGGCGAAAGGGGCAGUAAUGCAUGGGUAACCUACCUCCGGGACGGGGAUAGCCUUUCUAACGAAAGGGUAAUACCCGGCGAGCUGAUUGGGAGGCAUCUCCUGGUCAGGAAAUGAGUUUCGCCUGGAGAGGGGCUCAUGUGAUAUUAGCUUGUUGGCGGGGUAACGGCCCACCAAGGCUGAGAUGUCUAGCGGGUGUGAGAGCACGACCCGCGCCACUGGCACUGAGACACUGGCCAGACUCCUACGGGAGGCAG
rnacentral:rRNA from 1 species